rnacentral:rRNA from 1 species
AGAGUUUGAUCAUGGCUCAGGACGAACGCUGGCGGCGUGCUUAACACAUGCAAGUCGAGCGAGGCCCUCUUUCGGGGGGUGCCCUAGCGGCGAACGGGUGAGUAACACGUGGGCAACCUGCCCUCAGCUUCGGGAUAACUCCAAGAAAUUGGUGCUAAUACCGGAUGUGACCGCUGACCGCAUGGUCUGGUGGUGGAAAGAUUCAUCGGCUGGGGAUGGGCCCGCGGCCUAUCAGCUUGUUGGUGGGGUAAUGGCCUACCAAGGCGACGACGGGGUAGCCGGCCUGAGAGGGUGACCGGCCACACUGGGACUGAGACACGGCCCAGACUCCUACGGGAGGCAGCAGUGGGGAAUAUUGCGCAAUGGGCGGAAGCCUGACGCAGCGACGCCGCGUGAGGGAUGACGGCCUUCGGGUUGUAAACCUCUUUCAGUAGGGACGAAGCGGAAGUGACGGUACCUACAGAAGAAGCACCGGCCAACUACGUGCCAGCAGCCGCGGUAAUACGUAGGGUGCAAGCGUUGUCCGGAAUUAUUGGGCGUAAAGAGCUCGUAGGCGGUCUGUCACGUCGGCUGUGAAAACCCGAGGCUCAACCUCGGGCCUGCAGUCGAUACGGGCAAACUGGAGUACUGCAGGGGAGACUGGAAUUCCUGGUGUAGCGGUGAAAUGCGCGAUAUCAGGAGGAACACCGGUGGCGAAGGCGGGUCUCUGGGCAGUAACUGACGCUGAGGAGCGAAAGCGUGGGGAGCGAACAGGAUUAGAUACCCUAGUAGUCC